rnacentral:rRNA from 1 species
UACGUAGGGGGCGAGCGUUAUCCGGAAUUAUUGGGCGUAAAGCGCGCGCAGGCGGCUGAUUAAGUCAGGUGUGAAAGGCUGCGGCUCAACCGCAGAGCGGCACCUGAAACUGGUCAGCUUGAGUGCAGGAGAGGGGAGCGGAAUUCCCGGUGUAGCGGUGGAAUGCGUAGAGAUCGGGAGGAACACCAGUGGCGAAGGCGGCUCUCUGGCCUGUAACUGACGCUGAGGCGCGAAAGCGUGGGGGAGCAAACAGG